GAUGAACGCUGGCGGCGUGCCUAAUACAUGCAAGUCGAGCGAACAGACGAGGAGCUUGCUCCUUUGACGUUAGCGGCGGACGGGUGAGUAACACGUGGGUAACCUACCUAUAAGACUGGGAUAACUUCGGGAAACCGGAGCUAAUACCGGAUAAUAUUUCGAACCGCAUGGUUCGAUAGUGAAAGAUGGCUUUGCUAUCACUUAUAGAUGGACCUGCGCCGUAUUAGCUAGUUGGUAAGGUAACGGCUUACCAAGGGAACGAUACGUAGCCGAGCUGAGAGGGUGAUAGGCCGCACUGGAACGGAGACACGGUCCAGACUACUACGGGAGGCAGCAGUAGGGAAUCUUCCGCAAUGGGCGAAAGCCUGACGGAGUAACGCCGAGUGAGUGAUGAAGGUCUUCGGAUCGUAAAACUCUGUUACUAGGGAAGAACAAACGUGUAAGUAACUGUGCACGUCGUGACGGUACCUAAUCAGGAAGCCACGGCUAACUACGUG
rnacentral:rRNA from 1 species